CGUAGGUGCUGCUUGUUGGGAGGUGUGUUUUGUCGUCUCAUAGAGGCGUGUUUGGUUAAUGUUUUCUAUACUACGAGUAUAUGAAAGAUAAGAAAUCUGUAUGGUUUUGAGAUUGAAGCUUAAAAAUUAAAUAGGAUAUAGUGUUCCAUUUUGUGAGGCAGGGUUCUUCCUGUACUAUCUUCAAUGAGUUUAGCUAUGUCCCUCCAGAAAUUUGUCAAAUGUGGGAAGUGUGAUCAUUCUGGUUCGUCAAAUGUUUUUUGUAACUGUUUUUCCCAAGCUUUAACAAAGCUGUAUUCUAGGUAGUACGGUGUAUAUAGAGGAAAUAAUUUUUUGGGGGGGUUUAGUGCCCACGUACAUUCUCUCGAAAUCUGUCAGCUGCCUCCCAGUGACAGAGAUGGAACCUGAUUGUAUUUGUGCGUUCAUCCAGGAGUUAAGUUGGCGGUAUGAGUAGUGUGCUAUCAUUGGUAGUUUGUGAGAGGAGUCAUUCGUUAAGGCUUUGUGGUUUGUGUCCCAGAUUGAUAACGUCAAACUAGUGGUUGGGAGGCAAACCGGGGUUUGUGGUCUUUUUU